AUGUGCACCGGUCUGCCCCCCAUCAGUGUGCACCAUUAUGUCCUAUACAUAUUCCUCGCCAAAAAAAUGUCCUAUACAUAUCAUGAUGUUAGGCAACUAUACUUCUCAAAGAACAUUUUUUUUACUGAAUAUAUCUUGUUUAUUGACCCGAGUGGUACUUGUGCCAUGUUUCUCCGGGAAUCAUAUCUACUAUGGUCCUUGGAAUAUUCUGUUUCCACGGGGCAAAAGUAUAUGAUGUACAUCAGUUCAUGUAUUUUUUGUAUUAUUGAUGCAUUGCUGUUGUUCCUUUUUCCUGAUUAG
rnacentral:rRNA from 1 species